rnacentral:lncRNA from 1 species
UCGUUGUAUCAAAGAAAAACACAUCUGGAGCCUUUCCAGUGCCCUGCCAGAGAAGGCAAAUCAUCACAAGUGGGCAUCUUCAUCACCCCGGAGGAGGCCAUGAUGAGGAGGCAGUAGUUCACCCUCGGGGUUGAGAGUAUGUACCAGUAGCUCCGUGUUUAAUCUCUCUCUCUCUCUCUCUCUCUCUCUCGUGUUCUCGAGAUGUCACAAUCUAGAUAAAUCACGGGCUUUGUUAAUAUAGUCAGAUCAUAU